GCACGCGAGCUGGGUUCAGAACGUCGUGAGACAGUUCGGUCCCUAUCUAUCGUGGGCGUAGGAUAUUUGAGAGGAGCUGCUCCUAGUACGAGAGGACCGGAGUGGACAUACCAAUGGUGCACCAGUUGUCGUGCCAACGGCAUAGCUGGGUAGCGAUGUAUGGAAAGGAUAAAUGCUGAAAGCAUCUAAGCGUGAAACCUGCCUCAAGAUUAGAUAUCCCAUAACAUAAGUUAGUAAGACCCCUUGUAGACUACAAGGUUGAUAGGUCAGAGGUGUAAGCACAGUAAUGUGUUCAGCUGACUGAUACUAAUAGGUCGAGGGCUUGAUCAC
rnacentral:rRNA from 1 species